GAAGUCGGAAUUGCUAGUAAUCGCGGAUCAGCAUGCCGCGGUGAAUACGUUCCCGGGCCUUGUACACACCGCCCGUCACACCAUGGGAGCCGGUAAUACCCGAAGUCAGUAGUCCAACCUCGUGAGGACGCUGCCGAAGGUAGGAUUGGCGACUGGAGUGAAGUCGUAACAAGGUACC
rnacentral:rRNA from 1 species